rnacentral:lncRNA from 1 species
UAGAAGCUGCACCAAUGCCUCCUUUAUCAUGAGAACCUUUAGCUUGUUUCAUUAUAGAUUUGAGACUUUCUUCUCCUUGAACAAACUUUCACAUGGCUUUCUGAAGAUUUUUAACUUCUUGCUCCAAUGACUUGAACUUUUCAGCUUGAAUAGAGAUUUCGGCUAAGCUUUGGGAUUUGCUUAACUCGAAUGCCUCCAAGCUUGCAUCCUUAGCUUUAAGAUCUGCUCUCAG